AUGGAUGGUUUUGGGCUUUCUCUUACGGAGGGCCUGGUUCUGGAGAUAUGGCGUGCGAUGUCUGAUCAGAGGGGGAUUGAUGUUUCGUAUGCUGACUUCCAGCAAUUGUGUGAGUAUGGCAGACUUGAGGGGUUUUUCCCUGUGGUUGAAGCCAUUUUUUCGCCGUCAGCUUGGGACACUGUAGGGGAUUCCCUGAUCGAUUCUCUGCUGGUUGGUUAUCAGCCCCAGCUGCUCCGGCUGCUCGGGAUCUGGCGGAGGUGUGGCUUUCUGAGGUCGGGUCCCGAGGUCUGCUCUCCCGGGAUCGCCGGGGCCCCCAGCAGGUUGAACGGAGGCUCCGUGGGAUCGGCAGGCAUGACCCCGCCUCAGCCAGCGCCACAGCGGUGUAAGCCUGAGGUGGCCUUGGAGCCCUGCCAGCAGGCCGUCGGGGGCGCCGCGGACCUGGGGGGUGUAGCCCCGCCUCAGUCGGCGCCCCGGCGGUGGAAGCCCGGGGUGGGGUCGCCUCCUCCGUGUGCCCUCCCGGCACAGACCGAUGGGGGGCUGCUUGAACGGGGGGCGGCGCUGCCUCUGGGGGAUGCCUCAGGGUCUAUCCCGUGUCCCUGCUGCGGCUGGGCCGUGCCGUACCCCGCGGUGGGGGACGGGCCGGGCCCGGACCCCGUGCCAGCAGCCGCACACGCUGCCCCCCCCGCUCCGGAUUCGUGUGGCGUGGAGGCGGGUUCUGCAAGUGCUGCGGACGCCGGGCCGGGUUCUGCUGACCCCACGCUGCCGGGUUUUCCCCCUGCGAGCCCGGGCUGUUCCCUGGCAGCGGAGCAGGACGGUGCCGCAGCUUCGCAGGCUGUGCCUGUACCGGCACCCCGGUCCCCCCCCGCUUCAGGAGCGGGCUGUGCCAAACUGCUUCCAAACCCCCCCACCUCAGGUUCCCGGGCAUCACCCGAGCCUGCGGCUGGAGCCACCCCUCCUCCGUCGCCUCCUGCGGCGGUGGCAGACCAAGGGCCUGAGGUGUUUAACACUGGCUCGGGUGGUGAUGCUGCGGGGGAAGAGCCGGUGGCCUUGACGGGCCAGGGGUCCCAGGCUGCUGGAGCCUCUUCGGCUGGCCUGUGGGCUUUGUCCUCCUGA
rnacentral:lncRNA from 1 species